rnacentral:rRNA from 1 species
GACGUAGGGCGCGAGCGUUUGUCCGGAUUUAUUGGGCGUAAAGAGCUCGUAGGCGGCCUGUCGCGUCGACCGUGAAAACCCGCAGCUCAACUGCGGGCUUGCGGUCGAUACGGGCAGGCUCGAGUUCGGUAGGGGAGACUGGAAUUCCUGGUGUAGCGGUGAAAUGCGCAGAUAUCAGGAGGAACACCGGUGGCGAAGGCGGGUCUCUGGGCCGAUACUGACGCUGAGGAGCGAAAGCGUGGGGAGCGAACAGG